rnacentral:rRNA from 1 species
AUGCAAGUCGAACGAUGAACCACUUCGGUGGGGAUUAGUGGCGAACGGGUGAGUAACACGUGGGCAAUCUGCCCUGCACUCUGGGACAAGCCCUGGAAACGGGGUCUAAUACCGGAUACAACCACUGACCGCAUGGUCGGGUGGUGGAAAGCUCCGGCGGUGCAGGAUGAGCCCGCGGCCUAUCAGCUUGUUGGUGAGGUAAUGGCUCACCAAGGCGACGACGGGUAGCCGGCCUGAGAGGGCGACCGGCCACACUGGGACUGAGACACGGCCCAGACUCCUACGGGAGGCAGCAGUGGGGAAUAUUGCACAAUGGGCGCAAGCCUGAUGCAGCGACGCCGCGUGAGGGAUGACGGCCUUCGGGUUGUAAACCUCUUUCAGCAGGGAAGAAGCGAAAGUGACGGUACCUGCAGAAGAAGCGCCGGCUAACUACGUGCCAGCAGCG